UAACAUUUCACCUUUAAAUUGUAAAGAAAUAAAGGAUUCCAUCUUUGUAUGUCAGAUAAUUCCAUGUUCAAAUUUCAUGAUGUUGCAACUUAAAUUUUAGUCAGCCAGUUUUCUAGGUAUUUUUUAAUUUAAUAGUUAUUUGAGUGCCUACAUAGUUCUACAUUAAAAGUGUAUCAGGGUAUGUGAUGUUGCGUCUUUAUACCUUUUUGGGGUUGAUGUCUUAUUUUGACUUUCUUAUUUUGCAUAUCAUUUUCUAAUUAAUGCUGUACAGAUGCUUUGACACAAUCUGUAUUGUUAAAAGCGCUAUAUAAAUAUAGACUUGACUAGAGCAGCAAAUAAGCCAGAGCCGCUACUGCAUGUGCAUGUAUAUACAAACACAUAAAAACACACACAAACAUCCUUAAUGAAACUUUACUGAUAUUAUAAUCUCCUAAUUUCUCUGUUUCUAUGUGCUGCUGUGACAUGAAGUGAGGUAUGAGGCAGUGACUGCGGGAGAAUCUGUCCAUCUAUACACUGGUCUUAAUGAAAUACAGAGAGGUAAUGAGAUACAGUGGAGGUUUGGUGAUGAAAACUCUCUCAUCGCUGAAAUCAAAGGAGGGACUGGAAAGACACAUGAUGGUCCUGAUAAGAGAUUCAGAAACAGACUGGAGCUGAACAAGAAGACUGGAGAUCUGAUCAUCAAGAACUCUAGAGCUGAACAUGCUGGACGUUAUAAACUGAAGAUCAGCAGCAGUGAAGGGAACACAAACAGGACAUUCACUGUUAUUAUAAGAUAUGCUCUUGCCACAAAAGAAGCGAGGGAGAAAUCAUUGAUGAAGGAAAAGAAUGAAAAGCGAGAGAAUGAAUCAGCGACUGUAGUGAUGGAGAAGGAUCCGCUGUUGGAUGGAGAUUAUGUGAAUGUAGUGAAUGAGGAGAGGACGAGUGCACUUUAACAACAUAAGACCCGCACACAAGUGUCAAUCACUCUGACAUCAUCAACAUUCAGCUCCAGCUACAACAAAACAUUUUUAAUUUGAAAGAUGCUAUUUGUUAUUACUCUGACUCUACCAACAGAUAUAAAGAAUAUAUUUUCAUCUUUAUUUUGUUUGGCAAUUUUUUUUAUCCAUAAUCAAAAAUUCCUACUCUUUCACAUUUUCUGACUGAGGUUGACUCAAUGCUCCUCUUUUUGUUUGACUGGCAAUACAAAAUGUGUCAGGUUUUUGAAACUUUAUGAAAAAUGUAUUUCUGUUGACUCUGAUUAAGUUCAGACAACUCUCUUUCAUUGCUCUUUUUUAUUAUUAUUAUAUUUUCCCCUUAAUGUAAGUUACCUACCCUUUUAUUGUUUUAAUUUUCCUUAUCAUAUGUAUACAGUUAUUCAUACUUAUAUCUUCUAAUUUUUUUAUCCAUAAUCAAAAUUCCUACUCUUUCACAUUUCUGACUGAGGUUGACUCAAUGCUCCUCUUUUGUUUGACUGGCAAUACAAAUGUGUCAGGUUUUUGAACUUUAUGAAAAUGUAUUUCUGUUGACUCUGAUUAAGUUCAGACAACUCUCUUUCAUUGCUCUUUUUUAUUAUUAUUAUAUUUUCCCCUUAAUGUAAGUUACCUACCCUUUUAUUGUUUUAAUUUCCUUAUCAUAUGUAUACAGUUAUUCAUACUUAUAUCUUCUUUUCUUUGAUCAUAUAUAUAUAUCUUUUGAAAUAUAUAUUCAAUUUGAUCAAAAAAAAACUUUUCUGUUUUUAUGAGCCUCUAGAAUCCGUCCAGUGAAAGUGAGAAAUGUUAAACUCACAUGUAAAGAGCUUCUUUGUCAUUUUAUUAAUGUUACACUUUGCUACAUAUAAUCCUAGUUUGACUUGUUUGAUUCUGUGUGAUUGUAGACACUGUCAGAAAGUGUCACAUGUGCUUUAAAUAAGACAUUUUGCCACAGCAGUGCUUCUCUAACCAUUGUAUUCGCUGUUUUCAGUGUUGAUGAUUGCAGUCUGUUUCCAAAGCUUAAGCACUUAAAAUUAGCCUCAUAGCACUUGUAGCAGAAACACGCUUUGUUCCAUUCUAGUAGUGAUGUGAUACCACAUGUUUUGCUUUGUGUUGUUUUAUUAAAUUUGACAACAGCAUGUGCUUGAUGAAUAAUGUUUGUGUGUUACAUAUUGAUAUAUCACUGAUCUUAAUGUCUGAUCAUUUCUAUCCUUUAGUGGACAAACACUGAUACAGCUUUUGCUUCAUAACAGCUGUCUUUAAAUGCAACAUAUAAACAGUGUGCCUAUAUAUACAUUUGUAUGUACUAAAUAUAAUAAAAAGACAAAUUGUGCGAAACCUGUUGCUGCAUACUGUAUGUUCUAUGAUAGAUGUACAAAAUCAUUCACCGAAUGAAACCGCACUUAAUAAUGAUAAUAAUCAAUUAUUAUUAUU
rnacentral:lncRNA from 1 species